GACGAACGCUGGCGGCGUGCUUAACACAUGCAAGUCGAACGGAAAGGCCCUGCUUUUGUGGGGUGCUCGGGUGGCGAACGGGUGAGUAACACGUGAGUAACCUGCCCUUGACUUUGGGAUAACUUCAGGAAACUGGGGCUAAUACCGGAUAGGAGCUCCUGCUGCAUGGUGGGGGUUGGAAAGUUUCGGCGGUUGGGGAUGGACUCGCGGCUUAUCAGCUUGUUGGUGGGGUAGUGGCUUACCAAGGCUUUGACGGGUAGCCGGCCUGAGAGGGUGACCGGCCACAUUGGGACUGAGAUACGGCCCAGACUCCUACGGGAGGCAGCAGUGGGGAAUAGUGCACAAUGGGCGGAAGCCUGAUGCAGCAACGCCGCGUGCGGGAUGACGGCCUUCGGGUUGUAAACCGCUUUCGCCUGUGACGAAGCGUGAGUGACGGUAAUGGGUAAAGAAGCACCGGCUAACUACGUG
rnacentral:rRNA from 1 species